CUCAAGGAUGAUGAAACAGGAUGCACCUAAGCUAAAUUUGGAGUGUCAUGGCAAAGGCUUCUGUUCCCAGGUUUUGAUUAAGUGGGAUUCUUCGUUCAGCGCAACGGGUUGAGAGCAGAUUUUAAAUCAGCUCCAACCCAACCUAGACCUUCAUGAGGUCACAGAGCCCCUCCGCUGACGCUAUGGAAGAGAAAUCAAUCACAGCCCCAAACAAGUAACCAAUGGAGCUGCUAUAAAUAUGUAGAGAGGAUAAGACAAGUGUUCUUUACUCUGCUUGAAGCAACAGACCCUGUCAGUUAUUUUCCAUAAUUGUAACGUAUGUUACGUCACAGAAAACCAAAUUAGCAGAAACUGUAGUUACCCAAUACGCCACCCAGCUAGCUAACUAUGGUUAUUGAGCUACAAGAUUAAACUGACUAAGAAGUUUCAAAUAAUUCACGGAAUUUUCUCUGCUGACAAAACUUAUCAAAGCUCAUAAUUCAUGGUUCAAGGACCGAUUCGUUGGUAUCCAAAGGUCAGGAAUGCUAUUUUUAACAACAUGUUUUCCCAAUAUGGUAUAACUAUGUUAAGUUGAGUAAAACAUCUGACCUGUCGUCUUCCACCACGGGAAUUAGCAAUAUGGGCAACGAAAAAAUAUUGACAUUUAAAUGUGAAUAUCAGAAGAUACAUGUGCCAUAUGGAAUUGACAAUACUUCAUUAUUUAGGAUAUGUCUUUAGAUGAAAAAAGGGACUUUCAUGUCCCUGUGGCUCACUCUCUUUUUACUCUUGUCAAAUCCCUAUUUGAAGACUAAAAGCUAAAAGUGGAUGUUCAAAACCUUUGUUGCUGUUGCUGUGUCAAGCAUUUGAUAUGUGUGACUGAAACCAUAGCUUAUCCUCACCUACUGGAGCAUUCAAAGCUCAGGCCUGGUUUGUUUGUGUGUAAGAGAGUCAGCGAUAAGGGGUUGAAUGUGAAAAGCAAAUGCCACGAGGGGCGGUGACAGGUCUGUCAAGACCAAUACUCACCUCCACAGACAUUCCGGCUCGGAAAAAUUACAAUAAAUUGUAUUUAAUCAUCUAAUGUAUGCUUUCAAGAAUUUGAUGAUUUACAUGGCAGAAUGACAAUUGCUCUUUUCUUGACUUUUGACACAUGUGCAAAAUCAACUCUCUCAGGAUGUUAUUUUGGUUGACCUCCCAUGAUGUGCGAAAGGCUUACUAUGUAGUGUGUCCUUACCUUCCAGCAGCUGUUCUAUUUGUAUUCACAUACAUGCAAACCCGUGAUAAAGAGUUUUAAGAAUGAACACAGACGGUGUUGAGAUAAUUGCUCC
ensembl:lncRNA